AGCUCAUCUGCAAAUGUGUUGUCAACACCCCGAUCAGCCAAGAAGUCCAUCAAGUGGUCAUAGAGUGCCUGUGGAGAGGUUCAGAAAAGCAGACUUCGCACCAGGAAAGCAAGUGGAAAGGCCUCACCUCAUCCUCAGGGAAAUGACAAUCGAACACCAGGGAAUUUUUGGCCCCCUGUUUGGUCACUUCGACAACAAAGUUAGGCGUGGAGACGACGUCAGGCUGGAAAAAAAGAAAACGAGAACCAAGUAUGAAGCCCUCCACAGCCGCAGGACGGCAGCGUGUGUUUAGUGCUGAGCAGUUUGGAGCGAGUAGUAGCCGCGCCGUUCUUACCGCACAUCAUCCAGAUGGAGCGGGUGAAGGGCCGAGCUGUAGCCGAGGACGGAGCGCAUAGCGCGGAUCUGAUGAACGGUUCUACAGGCCGGGACGCUGCUCCAACCGGGGCUCUGUGUGAGAGGCGAGCUGCGACACUGACAGCGCGGGUUAAAGACUUCAACAUGGCUGAGCUCAACAGUGAACUUGUUCUCCUCUCAGCAGUAGCAGAACGUUACCGGCGACACGAGUGAGCAGAACACACUGGAAACACGUGUGAAGGAAGGACACUGUAACCUCACUCUAACUCGGAAAUGGUUCUCAAAGACGCAGGAAAUGACUUCAAAGGCUGUGUCCUAAAUGUGACCUACAUUGUAAAAACGAAGUGCACUAGAUAGUGUAUAGAUGCCAGUAAUACGCCAUCUAAUGGUAAAGCUAGUUUCUGCCAACCCCUAAAUGAAAUAAAAAUCAUUGCUUUAAUAACA